AUGAUAUAAAAUACAAUGAUUUUGGGGACGAGGAUAAUAACGCCAUUAAUGAAUGGGCAUGUUUUCUGUUUCAUGCCUUAGGGAUUCAAACAAUUCAGACGACAGGGAACGCUCACCGGCACUGGGGAAAAUUACCUGAGAAAAGAA